AGAACCACAAAUGCAGGAGCAAAUACAAAAAGCCUUAUGAAACCCAGACGUAUGUCUGCUGCAGUCAGACCUCCUCCUCCAAUGUCAGCACAGGUUUUUCAGCCUAAGAGACGGGUAUCCAUUGCUACCUAUCGUUCAGAGCCAACCUCAAACAUGACUACACCACUUCAAACCUCGCGAUAUAAAAAUGGGAAUGUAGUUGGCAGGCAGUCAUUUGUCAGGGACACAAGAAAGCCAAGGAAUUCAAAGCUGUUCUCUCCAUUGCCAGAGUUCAGGACUGC
rnacentral:lncRNA from 1 species